GAGCCACUGACACGCUGACAGCACUAUGAUGAUGUCACUGAUUCUACUGCUGGCCACCCUGGGGCUCCUUGUUCAGGGUUCAUCAGGAGAAAUCAUCCUGACUCAGUCUCCUGGAUCUCAGUCUGUUGUUCCAGGACAGACUGUCUCUAUCACAUGUAAAGCCAGUUCAGAUAUGAGCACCUACCUUCACUGGUACCUUCAGAGACCUGGAGUCUCCCAAACUUUUAAUUUAUUAUGCUACAACUCGUCAGUCUGGUGUUUCAGAUCGUUUCAGUGGAAGUGGAUCUGGGACUGACUUCACUCUGACCAUCAGUGGAGUUCAGACUGAAGAUGCAGGAGUUUAUUACUGUCAGCAGCAUAACAGCCGCCCGUUCACACAGUGA